rnacentral:rRNA from 1 species
UAUCUCUGUAGAGUCUGCAUAUCAAUAAGCGGAGGAAAAGGAAACUAACUAAGGAUUCCCUUAGUAACGGCGAGUGAAGCGGGAAGAGCUCAAAUUUGAAAUCUUCAAGGGUUCUACCUUUACGAAUUGUAGUUUAAAGAAGUGUUUUCUGUUGGAGUUUCGGUAAAAGUUCUUUGGAAUAGGACAUCAUAGAGGGUGAGAAUCCCGUAUUUGACCAGUUACUUUCCAGCUGUGUGAUACACCUUCAAAGAGUCGGAUUGUUUGGGAAUGCAGUCCAAAAUGGGUGGUAAAUUUCAUCUAAAGCUAAAUAUUGGCGAGAGACCGAUAGCGAACAAGUACCGUGAGGGAAAGAUGAAAAGAACUUUGAAAAGAGAGUUAAACAGUACGUGAAAUUGUCAAAAGGGAAGCGUUUGACACCAGUGUUGUUUUCUCGAAAAUCAAUUAAAAAGAUGCCGGAUUCUGUGUUGUAUUGACUUUAUCAGCUUUCUGCACUCUUUUCUUGUCUUUUUUAAUGCACUUUUCGUUUAACAAGUCAACAUCAAUUUCUUUUGUUGUAAAAGGUCAUUGGAAGGUGGCUUUCCUCUUCGGUAGAAAGUGUUUAUAGCCUUUGACUUCUGCAAUCGGAGAGAUUGAGGUCUGCAGCGUAGAUCCUUCGGGGUUAGAUACAUUUGUGCUAAGUUAUAGCUUUUCAUAGACAACAUGUUGACUAUGAUUAAGUCAUGUAGCUUACUCGCUUAUGCUAUUUUACCUACGCUUAGGAUGUUGAUCUCUCACAGUCGAGC